CCGGCCUCCCCCUGCCGCCCGCCGGGCCCCCUCCUUCCUCCGCUCGGGGCUGCCGCCGCCAUCGCCCGGGGCAGCCUCGGCGGCUGAGGGGGAGCCGCUCCAUGGGGUGUUUGGGACUGAGCCGGCGUGGUGCUCAGGGAACAGCCCCGUUCUCCCUCAUCCUAACCGCCUUCGGGGCUCUGCGCUUGUGCCGCCGCAGUCCUGCCCGCGCCCCGAAACGGGCUGCUGGAGUUGGGGGCAGAAGGCAGGGUGUAGGGGGCCACGGGGAGAAGAUGAGGGAAUUAGUGGUCACACAGCCAGCAGCAGGGCUCUUCGGCCGCGUGGGAUGCGGGGAUGGGUGGGGGAAACAGCAAAGGAUUGUAGCUGAGUGGGGUAGAAUCAUGGAGUCAUUAAGGUUGGAAAAGACCUCCAAGAUCAUCUGAUCCAACCAUCCCCAUACCACCAGUGUCACCCCCUAAACCGCGUCCCUAAGCACCACAUCUGACCUUUCAAAAAGAGGGGAAAACUGCAAGGAUGCUCUCGUGACAGAAGCACAAGGAACAAACAGAAAAUGAAGCACCUUAUCAGUUAUAUAUGAGUAAAAGGUGUGUGUUGUUUUCCAUCAUUGAUCAAGUCUUUUCAGCUGUCGUAACUCCGGUGGGAUAGCGGGCAGGUGUUACUGCUACAUCCUGUUUUGUAAACCCUGUUCUCUGGCCAAAAUGAAUAACAAGCCUCUCAAGCAAAACUUUUCGCAGAAGGAAUGUUUGUCACGCUGAGUCAGUUGAGCAUGGUGUUAUCUUUGCAAGAAUAAUGCUCACAGUGAAGCCUGCACCGUGAGCGCUGUUCCGUGUGAAGCACCACCACUCAGACCAGCAUCGUGGCCACUCGAGGAGUUUUGACCUAAUGAAGCACUGUGCAACUCAUAACCGUGCGAAGCCAUAUGAAGCUCUAGGUUCAGUUGCUUUAAAACAGGCUGUUAAGCGCUGGAGAGCUUCAGGAGUACACAGCAACUGAUGAGCAUGGAGCAUCUGUGGCAAAGGAAAAAACACCGUCUUCAAAUUUUGAGGAGCAAACAUGACCCUUUCUGUUUCUACUGCUUCCCACCCACAUUGAGUUAGUGUGAGAGAAGGAGAAAAUCGAGAAAAGCAGAGAUUUUCUUUGCAUGGGAGGACUGAAGAAUGUAUUGUUUUCUCAAUCACAAGCAAGCACUUUCAUCACCAGUUUUGCUCUACAUUCUAAGUGACAGAGAGUUUUUUAUGUUAUACUUGUAUAACUUAAAAGAGGUCAUAUUUGUAAAAGUCCCUAUGCAGAAGUGAGUCUUCUCUUUGGCUGUAUGCAAAUGCUACAGCACACAUGCAGUUUGUAAUUUGCCGAUAGGUAUAAGCAUAUGCAAAAUGGAGAUUAAAUGUGUAUAUGCAAGUUUGCAAAAUUAAUCAACCACGAAUGUACAGAACUACAAAUGCUUUCUGAAAUUUGGCUCCAAAAAGAUUUGUGAAUUAGCCUCCUAUAGAAACUUUCACUCAUGGAUGCCAAAUAUAUUCCAUUUUUAUUAUCAAUUAAUAAUUUAUAAGG